rnacentral:rRNA from 1 species
AGUGAACGCUGGCGGUAGGCCUAACACAUGCAAGCCGAACGGCAGCACAGUAAGAGCUUGCUCUUACGGGUGGCGAGUGGCGGACGGGUGAGGAAUACAUCGGAAUCUACUUUUUCGUGGGGGAUAACGUAGGGAAACUUACGCUAAUACCGCAUACGACCUACGGGUGAAAGCAGGGGAUCUUCGGACCUUGCGCGAUUGAAUGAGCCGAUGUCGGAUUAGCUAGUUGGCGGGGUAAAGGCCCACCAAGGCGACGAUCCGUAGCUGGUCUGAGAGGAUGAUCAGCCACACUGGAACUGAGACACGGUCCAGACUCCUACGGGAGGCAGCAGUGGGGAAUAUUGGACAAUGGGCGCAAGCCUGAUCCAGCCAUACCGCGUGGGUGAAGAAGGCCUUCGGGGUGUAAAGCCCUUUUGUUGGGAAAGAAAAGCAGCAGGUUAAUACCCCGCUGUUCUGACGGUACCCAAAGAAUAAGCACCGGCUAACUUCGUG